CUUCCGCCCGACUAUCGGAACACCGGGGUCCUGAAAACUCUGCAGGGACCUAGGGAGCACUGCACUCGGGAGCAGCGCGGUGCUGAACAGGCGGCGGGCGGAUCCAGACUGAGACUCAGCUGGAUACGAACGUUCACCAGAGCACCGGGAACCACGAGGAGCGGGUGUGUUGACAUUCAGUGAUGUGGCUGUGGACUUCUCACAAGAAGAGAGGGAGUGCCUAGAUCCUGCUCAGAGGCCUUUGUAAAGAGACUUGAUGGUGAGGAAUUACAGCUCUCUCAUUUUUAUUGGUUCUGUUUACGAAGCUCAGUAGAAGCAUCAGUGCUGUUUCAUUAACAGUCGUAGGCAGAAGACAGUGAGGCUGGGGGUCAGCUGCCAGUGCUUCUGAAGGAAAGCUUAGUGUAGCCUCUAUUCC